GAUCAUGGCUCAGGAUGAACGCUGGCGGCGUGCUUAACACAUGCAAGUCGAACGAAGCACUUUAAUCGAUUUCUUCGGAUUGAAAUUUAGUGACUGAGUGGCGGACGGGUGAGUAACGCGUGGGUAACCUGCCUCACACAGGGGGAUAACAGUUGGAAACGGCUGCUAAUACCGCAUAAGCGCACAGGAUCGCAUGAUCCGGUGUGAAAAACUCCGGUGGUAUGAGAUGGACCCGCGU
rnacentral:rRNA from 1 species